rnacentral:rRNA from 1 species
AGAUUGAACGCUGGCGGCAGGCCUAGCACAUGCAAGUCGAGCGGUAGAGAGGUGCUUGCAUCUCUUGAGAGCGGCGGACGGGUGAGUAAUGCCUAGGAAUCUGCCUAGUGGUGGGGGAUAACGUUCGGAAACGGACGCUAAUACCGCAUACGUCCUACGGGAGAAAGCGGGGGACCUUCGGGCCUCGCGCCAUUAGAUGAGCCUAGGUCGGAUUAGCUAGUUGGUGAGGUAAUGGUUCACCAAGGCGACGAUCCGUAACUGGUCUGAGAGGAUGAUCAGUCACACUGGAACUGAGACACGGUCCAGACUCCUACGGGAGCAGCAGUGGGAAUAUGGACAU